rnacentral:rRNA from 1 species
CGCAUCUGUGCAUGCAGCAUAUCAAUAAGCGGAGGAAAAGAAACUAACAAGGAUUCCCCUAGUAACGGCGAGUGAAGCGGGAAGAGCUCAAAUUUGAAAUCUUAAAGGGUUUCCCUUUACGAAUUGUAGUUUAAAGAAGUGUUUUCUGUUGAGGUUUUGGUAAAAGUUCUUUGGAAUAGGACAUCAUAGAGGGUGAGAAUCCCGUAUUUGACCUUUACUUUCAACUUUGUGAUACACUUUCAAAGAGUCGGAUUGUUUGGGAAUGCAGUCCAAAAUGGGUGGUAAAUUUCAUCUAAAGCUAAAUAUUGGCGAGAGACCGAUAGCGAACAAGUACCGUGAGGGAAAGAUGAAAAGAACUUUGAAAAGAGAGUUAAACAGUACGUGAAAUUGUCAAAAGGGAAGCGUUUGACACCAGUGUUGUUUUUCUGAAAAUCAAUUAAAGAACUGUUUAUGCUAAGUUGUUUAGACUUUAUCAGCUAACUGUUUAGUUUUGAGCUUUUCUUUAAUGCACUUUUCAGUUAACAAGUCAACAUCAAUUUCUUUUGCUGUAAAAAAGGCUUGAGGAAGGUGGCUUGAGAUUCGUCUUAAGUGUUUAUAGCCUCUUGCCUAUGCAGUCGGAGAGAUUGAGGUCUGCAGCGUAGAUCCUUCGGGGCUAAAUGCAUUUGUGCUAAGUUAUAGCAUUUUAUAGACAACUUGUUGACUAUGAUUUGUCUUGUAGCUUACUCGCUUAUGUUAUUUUACCUACGCUUAGGAUGUUGAACGCGCACAGAGUCU